rnacentral:rRNA from 1 species
AACGAACGCUGGCGGCAUGCCUCAUACAUGCAAGUCGAACGAAGCCUUCGGGCUUAGUGGCGAACGGGUGCGUAACGCGUGGGAACCUGCCCUUAGGUUCGGAAUAACAGUUAGAAAUGACUGCUAAUGCCGGAUAAUGUCUUCGGACCAAAGAUUUAUCGCCUUUGGAUGGGCCCGCGUAGGAUUAGGUAGUUGGUGUGGUAAUGGCGCACCAAGCCGACGAUCCUUAGCUGGUCUGAGAGGAUGAUCAGCCACACUGGGACUGAGACACGGCCCAGACUCCUACGGGAGGCAGCAGUAGGAAUAUUGGACAAUGGGCGAAAGCCUGAUCCAGCAAUGCCGCGUGAGUGAUGAAGGCCUUAGGGUUGUAAAGCUCUUUUACCAGGGAUGAUAAUGACAGUACCUGGAGAAUAAGCUCCGGCUAACUCCGUGCCAGCCGCCGCGGUAAU